CCUACGGGCGGCUGCAGUAAGGAAUAUUGGUCAAUGGACGCAAGUCUGAACCAGCCAUGCCGCGUGGAGGAUGAAGGUCCUCUGGAUUGUAAACUUCUUUUAUUUGGGAAGAAACUCCCGAUUUCCAUCGGGAUUGACGGUACCAGAGGAAUAAGCACCGGCUAACUCCGUGCCAGCAGCCGCGGUAAUACGGAGGGGGCAGGAGUCACCGGGAUUAAAGGGUUUUAAGGGGGGCAGGUAAGUCAGUGGUGAAAUCUCCGGGCUUAACCCGGAAACGGCCAUUGAUACUAUUUGUCUUGAAUACUCUGGAGGUGAGCGGAAUAUGUCAUGUAGCGGUGAAAUGCUUAGAUAUGACAUAGAACACCCAUUGCGAAGGCAGCUCACUACGGAAAUAUUGACGCUGAGGCACGAAAGCGUGGGGAUCAAACAGGAUUAGAUACCCCAGUAGUC
rnacentral:rRNA from 1 species